rnacentral:rRNA from 1 species
GAAUAUUGGACAAUGGGCGAAAGCCUGAUCCAGCCAUGCCGCGUGUGUGAAGAAGGUCUUCGGAUUGUAAAGCACUUUAAGUUGGGAGGAAGGGCAGUAAGUUAAUACCUUGCUGUUUUGACGUUACCAACAGAAUAAGCACCGGCUAACUUCGUGCCAGCAGCCGCGGUAAUACGAAGGGUGCAAGCGUUAAUCGGAAUUACUGGGCGUAAAGCGCGCGUAGGUGGUUUGGUAAGAUGGAUGUGAAAUCCCCGGGCUCAACCUGGGAACUGCAUCCAUAACUGCCUGACUAGAGUACGGUAGAGGGUGGUGGAAUUUCCUGUGUAGCGGUGAAAUGCGUAGAUAUAGGAAGGAACACCAGUGGCGAAGGCGACCACCUGGACUGAUACUGACACUGAGGUGCGAAAGCGUGGGGAGCAAACAG